rnacentral:rRNA from 1 species
UACGGAAGGGGCAAGCGUUGUUCGGAAUCAUUGGGCGUACAGGGCGCGUAGGUGGUUCUGUAUGUCUACCGUGAAAGCGUACGGCUCAACCGUAUUUUGUCGGUGGAAACUGCAGGACUUGAGGCUGGGAGGGGCUGGUGGAAUUCCCUGUGUAGCGGUGAAAUGCGUAGAGAUGGGGGAGAACACUCGUGGCGAAGGCGGCCAGCUAGACCAGUUCUGACACUGAGGCGCGACAGCGUGGGGAGCAAACAGG